rnacentral:rRNA from 1 species
GACGAACGCUGGCGGCAGGCUUAACACAUGCAAGUCGAACGGGUGUAGCAAUACAUCAGUGGCAGACGGGUGAGUAACACGUGGGAACCUUCCUAGGGGUACGGAACAACUCAGGGAAACUUGAGCUAAUACCGUAUACGUCCGUAAGGAGAAAGAUUCAUCGCCCCUAGACGGGCCCGCGUCGGAUUAGGUAGUUGGUGGGGUAACGGCCUACCAAGCCUACGAUCCGUAGCUGAUCUGAGAGGANGGUCAGCCACACUGGGACUGAGACACGGCCCAGACUCCUACGGGAGGCAGCAGUGGGGAAUCUUGGACAAUGGGCGCAAGCCUGAUCCAGCCAUGCCGCGUGAGUGAAGAAGGCCUUAGGGUUGUAAAGCUCUUUUACCAGGGACGAUAAUGACGGUACCUGGAGAAUAAGCCCCGGCAAACUUCGUAGCCAGCCGCCGCCGUAAACCUGA